UACGUAGGGGGCAAGCGUUAUCCGGAAUCACUGGGUGUAAAGGGUGCGUAGGCGGCUUGUCAAGUAAGGUGUGAAAGCCCGGGGCUCAACCCCGGGACUGCACUUUAAACUGAUAGGCUAGAGUACAGGAGAGGUAAGCGGAAUUCCUAGUGUAGCGGUGAAAUGCGUAGAUAUUAGGAAGAACACCAGUGGCGAAGGCGGCUUACUGGACUGAAACUGACGCUGAGGCACGAAAGCGUGGGGAGCGAACAGG
rnacentral:rRNA from 1 species